rnacentral:rRNA from 1 species
GGAGUCUAGCAUGUGCGCGAGUCAUUGGGACGCGUAGCAAAACCUAAAGGCGAAAUGAAAGUGAAGGCGCGCCUCGCGCGCGCCUAGGGAGGAUGGGCGACGUCCUGAGGACCACGAUCCGAAGGCGCCGUCGCCCCGCACUCCCGGGGCGUCUCGUUCUCAUCGCGAGAAGAGGCGCACCCAGAGCGUACACGCUGGGACCCGAAAGAUGGUGAACUAUGCCUGGUCAGGACGAAGUCAGGGGAAACCCUGAUGGAGGUCCGUAGCGAUUCUGACGUGCAAAUCGAUCGUCGGAACUGGGUAUAGGGGCGAAAGACUAAUCGAACCAUCUAGUAGCUGGUUCCCUCCGAAGUUUCCCUCAGGAUAGCUGGCGCUCGCGAAACUUGCGAGUCUCAUCCGGUAAAGCGAAUGAUUAGAGGCAUUGGGGUCGAAACGGCCUCAACCUAUUCUCAAACUUUAAAUGGGUGAGAUCUCCGGCUUGCUUGAAAGUUGAAGCCGCGAGAUCGGAUCAGAGUGCCAAGUGGGCCACUUUUGGUAAGCAGAACUGGCGCUGUGGGAUGAACCAAACGCGGAGUUAAAGCGCCUAAAUCGACGCUUAUGGGAUACCAUGAAAGGCGUUGGUAACUUAAGACAGCAGGACGGUGGCCAUGGAA